AGUUCGAUUAUGGCUCAGGAUGAACGCUAGCGACAGGCUUAACACAUGCAAGUCGAGGGGCAGCACAGGUAGCAAUACCGGGUGGCGACCGGCGCACGGGUGAGUAACGCGUAUGCAACUUGCCUAUCAGAGGGGGAUAACCCGGCGAAAGUCGGACUAAUACCGCAUGAAGCAGGGGCCCCGCAUGGGGAUAUUUGCUAAAGAUUCAUCGCUGAUAGAUAGGCAUGCGUUCCAUUAGGCAGUUGGCGGGGUAACGGCCCACCAAACCGACGAUGGAUAGGGGUUCUGAGAGGAAGGUCCCCCACAUUGGUACUGAGACACGGACCAAACUCCUACGGGAGGCAGCAGUGAGGAAUAUUGGUCAAUGGGCGUAAGCCUGAACCAGCCAAGUCGCGUGAGGGAUGAAGGUUCUAUGGAUCGUAAACCUCUUUUAUAAGGGAAUAAAGUGCGGGACGUGUCCCGUUUUGUAUGUACCUUAUGAAUAAGGAUCGGCUAACUCCGUGCCAGCAGCCGCGGUAAUACGGAGGAUCCGAGCGUUAUCCGGAUUUAUUGGGUUUAAAGGGUGCGUAGGCGGCCUUUUAAGUCAGCGGUGAAAGUCUGUGGCUCAACCAUAGAAUUGCCGUUGAAACUGGGGGGCUUGAGUAUGUUUGAGGCAGGCGGAAUGCGUGGUGUAGCGGUGAAAUGCUUAGAUAUCACGCAGAACCCCGAUUGCGAAGGCAGCCUGCCAAGCCAUGACUGACGCUGAUGCACGAAAGCGUGGGGAUCAAACAGGAUUAGAUACCCUGGUAGUCCACGCAGUAAACGAUGAUCACUAGCUGUUUGCGAUACACAGUAAGCGGCACAGCGAAAGCGUUAAGUGAUCCACCUGGGGAGUACGCCGACAACGGUGAAACUCAAAGGAAUUGACGGGGGCCCGCACAAGCGGAGGAACAUGUGGUUUAAUUCGAUGAUACGCGAGGAACCUUACCCGGGUUUGAACGCAUUCGGACCGAGGUGGAAACACCUUUUCUAGCAAUAGCCGUUUGCGAGGUGCUGCAUGGUUGUCGUCAGCUCGUGCCGUGAGGUGUCGGCUUAAGUGCCAUAACGAGCGCAACCCUUGCCACUAGUUACUAACAGGUAAAGCUGAGGACUCUGGUGGGACUGCCAGCGUAAGCUGCGAGGAAGGCGGGGAUGACGUCAAAUCAGCACGGCCCUUACAUCCGGGGCGACACACGUGUUACAAUGGCGUGGACAAAGGGAUGCCACCUGGCGACAGGGAGCGAAUCCCCAAACCACGUCUCAGUUCGGAUCGGAGUCUGCAACCCGACUCCGUGAAGCUGGAUUCGCUAGUAAUCGCGCAUCAGCCAUGGCGCGGUGAAUACGUUCCCGGGCCUUGUACACACCGCCCGUCAAGCCAUGGGAGCCGGGGGUACCUGAAGUCCGUAACCGCGAGGAUCGGCCUAGGGUAAAACUGGUGACUGGGGCUAAGUCGUAACAAGGUACCC
rnacentral:rRNA from 1 species